CCUACGGAGGCAGCAGUGGGGAAUAUUGGACAAUGGGGGCAACCCUGAUCCAGCCAUGCCGCGUGUGUGAAGAAGGCCCUCGGGUUGUAAAGCACUUUCAGUGAGGAAGAACGCCUGGUGGUUAAUACCCAUCAGGAAAGACAUCACUCACAGAAGAAGCACCGGCUAACUCCGUGCCAGCAGCCGCGGUAAUACGGAGGGUGCGAGCGUUAAUCGGAAUUACUGGGCGUAAAGCGCGCGUAGGUGGCUUGAUAAGCCGGUUGUGAAAGCCCCGGGCUCAACCUGGGAACGGCAUCCGGAACUGUCAAGCUAGAGUGCAGGAGAGGAAGGUAGAAUUCCCGGUGUAGCGGUGAAAUGCGUAGAGAUCGGGAGGAAUACCAGUGGCGAAGGCGGCCUUCUGGACUGACACUGACACUGAGGUGCGAAAGCGUGGGUAGCAAACAGGAUUAGAUACCCCUGUAGUC
rnacentral:rRNA from 1 species